UUGUGGCUAGGGGUGAAAUUCCAAUCGAACCCGGAGAUAGCUGGUUCUCCCCGAAAUAGCUUUAGGGCUAGCGUUGUGAGAAGAGUUAUACGAAGGUAGAGCACUGAAUGGGUGAGGGCCGCACCUCGCGGUACCAAUCUCAAUCAAACUCCGAAUGUCGUAUAAUAUGCGCAGCAGUAAGACUAUGGGUGAUAAGGUCCAUGGUCAAAAGGGAAACAGCCCAGACCGCCAGUUAAGGUCCCAAAAUUAUGCUAAGUGGGAAAGGAGGUGGAGUCGCUUAAACAACUAGGAGGUUGGCUCAGAAGCAGCCAUCCUUUAAAGAGUGCGUAAUAGCUCACUAGUCGAGUGAUUCUGCGCCGAAAAUGUAUCGGGGCUAAGCAUAAUACCGAAGCUGCGGGAUUAGAUGAAGAAUCUAAUCGGUAGGGGAGCGUACUAAGUGCGUAGAAGGUUGACCGGAAGGGCAGCUGGAGCGCUUAGCAGUGAGUAUGCCGGUGUGAGUAGCGAUAAGAUGGGUGAGAAUCCCAUCCGUCGAAAGCCUAAGGUUUCCAGGGGUAAGGCUCGUCCUCCCUGGGUAAGUCGGGUCCUAAGGUGAGGCUGAGAAGCGUAGCUGAUGGACAUCAGGUUGAUAUUCCUGAACCACCAUAAAACUGAAGGAAUGACGGAGGAGGCUAAUCAGAGCUGAUUAAUGGAUUUCAGUUUAAGUACAAAGAGGGUUACGUAGGCAAAUCCGCGUAGCAAAACCUUGAAGUAUGAUGACGUAAGUCUGGUGAAGCCACACUUCCAAGAAAAGUUUCUAGGUGUAUUUUAUGGUGCCCGUACCGUAAACGGACACACGUAGGCGAGGAGAGAAUCCAAAGACGCGCGAGAUAAUUCUUGUUAAGGAACUCUGCAAAAUUACUCUGUAACUUCGGAAUAAAGAGGGCUCCCGUGAGGGAGACGCAGAAAAUAGGCCCAAGCGACUGUUUAACAAAAACAUAGGUUUCUGCUAAAGCGUAAGCUGAUGUAUAGGAGCUGACGCCUGCCCAGUGCUGGAAGGUUAAGAGGAGAAGUUAGUCGCAAGGCGAAGCUUUGAAUUGAAGCCCCAGUAAACGGCGGCCGUAACUAUAACGGUCCUAAGGUAGCGAAAUUCCUUGUCAGGUAAGUUCUGACCCGCACGAAAGGCGUAACGAUUUGGGCGCUGUCUCAACAAGAAACUCGGUGAAAUCAUAGUACCUGUGAAGAUGCAGGUUACCCGCGAUCAGACGGAAAGACCCCAUGGAGCUUCACUGCAACUUAAUAUUGAUAUUGGGUGUGUGAUGUACAGGAUAGGUGGGAGACAAAGAAGCGAGUACGCUAGUAUUCGUGGAGUCAACCUUGGGAUACCACCCCUCGCACAUUUAGUAUCUAACUAGUUUCCAUAAACUGGGAAUAGAACAGUGUUAGGUGGGCAGUUUGACUGGGGCGGUCGCCUCC
rnacentral:rRNA from 1 species